GACGAACGCUGGCGGCGUGCUUAACACAUGCAAGUCGAACGGAAAGGCCCUGCUUUUGUGGGGUGCUCGAGUGGCGAACGGGUGAGUAACACGUGAGUAACCUGCCCUUGACUUUGGGAUAACUUCAGGAAACUGGGGCUAAUACCGGAUAGGAGCUCCUGCUGCAUGGUGGGGGUUGGAAAGUUUCGGCGGUUGGGGAUGGACUCGCGGCUUAUCAGCUUGUUGGUGGGGUAGUGGCUUACCAAGGCUUUGACGGGUAGCCGGCCUGAGAGGGUGACCGGCCACAUGGGGACUGAGAUACGGCCCAGACUCCUACGGGAGGCAGCAGGGGGGAAUAUUGCACAAUGGGCGGAAGCCUGAUGCAGAAACGCCGCGUGCGGGAUGACGGCCUUCGGGUUGUAAACCGCUUUCGCCUGUGACGAAGCGUGAGUGACGGUAAUGGGUAAAGAAGCACCGGCUAACUACGUG
rnacentral:rRNA from 1 species